UACGUAGGUGGCAAGCGUUGUCCGGAUUUACUGGGCGUAAAGAGCGCGCAGGCGGUCGUGCAAGUCGCGUGUGAAAGCCCCCGGCUCAACUGGGGAGGGUCACGCGAUACUGCUCGACUCGAAGGCAGGAGAGGGAAGUGGAAUUCCGAGUGUAGCAGUGAAAUGUGUAGAUAUUCGGAAGAACACCAGUGGCGAAGGCAGCAGAUUGGGCCGGUAUUGACGCUCAGGCACGAAAGCAUGGGGAUCAAACAGG
rnacentral:rRNA from 1 species